CUGUGUGAGCAGUCUGUACAUGUUAGAAUCAAAAUCAGUUUGAAGGGGGCUUGGAACUAAGUUAUGAAUUGCUGCUUUCUGUUCACCAUAUAUGCCCGCAGAUAAAAAGAGAAGACAGACAUUUACAAUUGAUUGUUUGGAUAAAAUUUACGGAUGUACCAUGGUUAAUUAGUUCAUUGAUGAGGUUGUUGUAAUACUGUAGUCCCUUGGGAUUGACAGCUCCAGUCCCAUCUAAGAAGAAAAGGGCUAUCAUGCCCAAGAUAGCAAGAAAGAUAAUAGUACCAACAUUAAGUAAAUAUGAUGAUAAGUGCGCAUACUUGGAAUAAGUCUUGACCAUGAAAUAGAGAACCUAUAUGCCUCUAGGCCUGUCUCCACCAUCAGAUGGACAUCUUCCUGCCACAAAAUAUCGACUCAGAAAAGAAGAGGGGAAAUUUUAAAAGAAUCAGGGUAUGUCAACAUGCACAAUUUGUUUUUGGGUAAUAUUAGUAAAAGGCUAUACUGCUUUUGUAAGUGCUCAUUCUGCGAUCUGCAGCAAUAGCGUUUCUAUACACAAAAAUUAACACCACAAAGAUUGAGUACUUAGAAUUGAGCUUUUCAUGCAGUAGAAAUGCCUGUAGAGCCCCAAGGAUUGCCCAAUAGGGACAUAUAUAUACGAGAAAAACAAAGAUAAGGUCUUUCUUGAAUGAUUUUACAGACCUUGUAUUUGUGAUACUCAUCACAUGCAAUAUCUCCAUUAGCUCCAUUUGUGUAUCCUGAAAGUAUCAACUGAACCUCAAGACCUUCCAUUGAGAGUAAAAACACUAAGCACUAAUAACCAGAAGACUAAAAAUGCUCAUCUAUAGAUCAGCUANCAGCCUAUCUUUGUUGCUCGCAUAAUUAUCAAUAUACAUAAUAAAGAAAGAAUUUAUUAAUGCAAAGUAUUAACAUUAUUAGGUGGGAUUGGUCACUAACCAGCCAAUAAAAAAGUCAAAAGCCCUUUGGGUUGCUAUUACAUCUUCCGGUGCAUUGGUGUAAGGAACAUACCAGUAUGCAUAUACAUCUAGUCCUAUCAAACCAUGUUGUUCAGCCUGCAUCACAUGUUCGCCUAUGACUAAAUUAGUAACUGAAGUAUGCUGCGAUUGUUAAACUAGUAGUUGGUUUCAUACAUGCUCAAGAAGAUUUUAUUAAAUACAGAAUAACACAAAAUGGCAUGCCUACACUUGAAAUGUAAAUGUACAUUUUUUUAUUUACCAAUGUUCUACCUUAUACAGUAACAUAUGGAUGAAAUGAUAUGUUACCUUGUAUUUCUUAAAGUACAAUCUUGCAGUAGCUGCAUGUGCCAGUAGUAUGUUAUGAGCAACGAUGUAUGGCUCAGUAGAUGAGUUACCUCCGACACAAUUUGUUCCAAAGGGAGAAGAGCAUCGGCUAGGCUGAAAUAAUCCCAAAUCAUAACCGUAGUGAGCAAAAACGUUGGGUUCGUUGAAGGUAGUCCAGUGAAGCACUCUGUCGCCAAAUUCUCUGAAGCAAAUAUUGGCAUAAGCGACAAAAGCUUUCCUGCACUCACAUUAUUACCAUUUCCUCAUGCAAUUCAUUCUCUGGGUUAUGUGCGAAUAUAUGUGCACAAAGGAAAGACACAAUUAUGCAAACAUGACAAUAACAAGAGCGUAAAGGUCUUUACACUGUCUUCUUACUAAGCCAUCCUCCAUACUCAUCUUCAAGUAUUUGUGGUGUAUCGUAAUGAAAUAAUGUAACAUGUGGUUCUAUUCCUGUGUGAGCAGUCUGUACAUGUUAGAAUCAAAAUCAGUUUGAAGGGGGCUUGGAACUAAGUUAUGAAUUGCUGCUUUCUGUUCACCAUAUAUGCCCGCAGAUAAAAAGAGAAGACAGACAUUUACAAUUGAUUGUUUGGAUAAAAUUUACGGAUGUACCAUGGUUAAUUAGUUCAUUGAUGAGGUUGUUGUAAUACUGUAGUCCCUUGGGAUUGACAGCUCCAGUCCCAUCUAAGAAGAAAAGGGCUAUCAUGCCCAAGAUAGCAAGAAAGAUAAUAGUACCAACAUUAAG
rnacentral:lncRNA from 1 species